rnacentral:lncRNA from 1 species
UCCACAGCCACCACCCACGCCGAAACCAAACCACCACCAACAAAAAAUCCAGCUUUGGGCCCCUCUUUUGGAAUCUCUAGCGCAGCACGGAACUCUUCACCCCGCCUCGCAGGGUCCAGACUAGGUGACAGGAAACAUUUGAGGGAAAGACUGUUUGAGGUGGUGCAGUGAGGAAGAAAGACGGUAAUGGGGGCAUGACCGGGCCUCACCCGACCAAGCCGAUGGCCAACGCAGCAGAGAGCCCGCGGUACUGCUCUGAACGCUAUUUGAUCCAGGCCGCCCCUUGCACCCGGAUGUUCUUCCUUGUUGGAACCUGCCACGUCAUGGCGGGAGAAGAUUCUACGUCACCCUACCUUGACCCUUCAUCCACCUCAGGAAAGCAUUGGGGUCAACCGCCCUGCUUCUGAAAGUCAAGGGACAUUUGACUCAAACCAGCCUUGUCCAGUUCCUGGAAUUGUGGGCCUGCAAGUUUUGGAGUGGGGUAGAAGUCAGUGAAGAAGAUAUGACACCAGGGACCCCAGUAUACAGGUGACUACCCUGAGUUUCCUUUCUUGCCUUCAAAUCCUCAUAGCUCCCACAUCACUGCCCCUGCAGGAUCCAGUGGCUGGGGAAAGAGGAACUAUUUCUGAUGAUAGGCUAGGAGUGAUAAUCCAGAGCUUGGUUGGGUUUGAUGCAUGGAAGUGGGUCAAGUAAGAGUUUCCAAAUGGUCUGCUUUGAGUUCUUGGCAUUAAAACCCCUGAGAUUUUAAUUCAGAGUUUGUGAGUGUUAUUUCCCAUUUGCUUUUUAGAUCAGUGGUCGCCAAACCUGACAAAUGAUGGGGUCACCUCAGGAGAUUUUAAGACCUACCAGUGCCCAAGCUAGUGUUUCAUUCCCAGAGAUUCCCAUGUAAUUGGGCCUCAGCCUCUCCAAGUGAUUCUGAUAUGCAGCCAGGCAUAAGGAUCCCUGCUUUAGAAAGACUUUAAAGAUAGAUUUAAUCAAUUCGCUCAUGGUUUUAUGUUCCUAUCUAUAAAAUCGGAUCCUCUCUUCCAUCUCUUUAUAAAGCAUGUACAGUGGACCCUUGAACAUCAUGGGCCAACUGUACAUAUAAGUGUGUGGGUCCAGGUCCACUUUUAUGCAGAAUUUUAAAAAAUUAAUACAGUACUACAAAUGUAUUUUCUCUUAUGUUUUUCUUAACAUUUUUUUCUCCUAGCUAACUUUAUUACAAGAGUGCAGUAUUUAAUACGUACAACAUAUAAAAUGUGUUAGUCAACCAUUCAUGUUAUCAGUGAUCUUUAAGUCAACAGUAGGCUAUUGGUAGUUAAGUUUUGGGGUAGUCAAAGUUACACAUGAAUUUUUGAUCGCACAGGAGUUGUGCUGUUCAGGAACUACAUAUAUAUGUAAUAUAUACACA